AAUAGAUACCCCGGUAGUCCACGCCGUAAACGAUGAGUGCUAGGUGUUGGGGGGACCCCCCGUCAGUGCCGCAGGUAACCCAAUAAGCACUCCGCCUGGGGAGUACGGUCGCAAGACUGAAACUCAAAGGAAUUGACGGGGGCCCGCACAAGCGGUGGAGCAUGUGGUUUAAUUCGAAGCAACGCGAAGAACCUUACCAGGGCUUGACAUCCCGCUGCCCGGUGUAGAGAUAUGCCUUUCCCCUUCGGGGGACAGCGGUGACAGGUGGUGCAUGGUUGUCGUCAGCUCGUGUCGUGAGAUGUUGGGUUCAGUCCCGCAACGAGCGCAACCCUUGUUUCUAGUUGCCAGCACUUCGGGUGGGCACUCUAGAGAGACAGCCGGUGAAAGCCGGAGGAAGGUGGGGAUGACGUCAAAUCAUCAUGCCCCUUAUGUCCUGGGCUACACACGUGCUACAAUGGCUGGUACAGAGGGUAGCGAACCCGCGAGGGGGAGCCAAUCCCAAAAAACCAGUCUCAGUUCGGAUUGCAGGCUGCAACUCG
rnacentral:rRNA from 1 species